rnacentral:rRNA from 1 species
GACGAACGCUGGCGGCGUGCUUAACACAUGCAAGUCGAACGGAAAGGCCCUGCUUUUGUGGGGUGCUCGAGUGGCGAACGGGUGAGUAACACGUGAGUAACCUUCCCUUGACUUUGGGAUUACUUCAGGAAACUGGGGCUAAUACCGGAUAGGAGCUCCUGCUGCAUGGUGGGGGUUGGAAAGUUUCGGCGGUUGGGGAUGGACUCGCGGCUUAUCAGCUUGUUGGUUGGGUAGUGGCUUACCAAGGCUUUGACGGGUAGCCGGCCUGAGAGGGUGACCGGCCACAAUGGGACUGAGAUACGGCCCAGACUGCUACGGGAGGCAGCAGUGGGGAAUAUUGCACAAUGGGCGGAAGCCUGAUGCAGCAACGCCGCGUGCGGGAUGACGGCCUUCGGGUUGUAAACCGCUUUCGACUGUGACGAAGCGUGAGUGACGGUAAUGGGUAAAGAAGCACCGGCUAACUACGUG